UCGAGCGAAGCACUUUUGCGGAUUUCUUCGGAUUGAAGCAAUUGUGACUGAGCGGCGGACGGGUGAGUAACGCGUGGGUAACCUGCCUCAUACAGGGGGAUAACAGUUGGAAACGGCUGCUAAUACCGCAUAAGCGCACAGUACCGCAUGGUACCGUGUGAAAAACUCCGGUGGUAUGAGAUGGACCCGCGUCUGAUUAGGUAGUUGGUGGGGUAACGGCCUACCAAGCCGACGAUCAGUAGCCGACCUGAGAGGGUGACCGGCCACAUUGGGACUGAGACACGGCCCAAACUCCUACGGGAGGCAGCAGUGGGGAAUAUUGCACAAUGGGGGAAACCCUGAUGCAGCGACGCCGCGUGAGCGAUGAAGUAUUUCGGUAUGUAAAGCUCUAUCAGCAGGGAAGAAAAUGACGGUACCUGACUAAGAAGCCCCGGCUAACUACGUGCCAGCAGCCGCGGUAAUACGUAGGGGGCAAGCGUUAUCCGGAUUUACUGGGUGUAAAGGGAGCGUAGACGGCAUGGCAAGCCAGAUGUGAAAGCCCGGGGCUCAACCCCGGGACUGCAUUUGGAACUGUCAGGCUAGAGUGUCGGAGAGGAAAGCGGAAUUCCUAGUGUAGCGGUGAAAUGCGUAGAUAUUAGGAGGAACACCAGUGGCGAAGGCGGCUUUCUGGACGAUGACUGACGUUGAGGCUCGAAAGCGUGGGGAGCAAACAGG
rnacentral:rRNA from 1 species